AUGAACGCUGGCGGCAGGCUUAAUACAUGCAAGUUGAACGGUAACAUAUUGUAGCAAUACGAUGAUGACGAGUGGCGUACGGGUGCGUAACACGUGUGCAACCUACCUUAUACCGGAACAUAACGUCGAGAAAUUGACGCUAACAUUCCAUAACAUUGCUUGAAGGCAUCUUUUAGCAAUUAAAACUCCGGUGGUAUAAGAUGGGCACGCGUUCCAUUAGCUUGUUGGUAAGGUAACGGCUUACCAAGGCUACGAUGGAUAGGGGUUCUGAGAGGAUUAUCCCCCACACUGGAACUGAGACACGGUCCAGACUCCUACGGGAGGCAGCAGUAAGGAAUAUUGGGCAAUGGAGGCAACUCUGACCCAGCCAUGCCGCGUGCAGGAAGACGGCCCUACGGGUUGUAAACUGCUUUUAAUAGGGAGUAAGGUUAGUUACGUGUAACUAAUUGCAAGUACCUAUAGAAUAAGGAUCGGCUAACUCCGUGCCAGCAGCCGCGGUAAUACGGAGGAUCCAAGCGUUAUCCGGAUUUAUUGGGUUUAAAGGGUGCGCAGGCGGACUAAUAAGUCAGUGGUGAAAUCUACAUGCUUAACAUGUAUCGUGCCAUUGAUACUGUUGGACUAGUAUGCAAAUGACGUAGCUGGAAUGUGUUAUGUAGCGGUGAAAUGCUUAGAUAUAACACAGAACACCAAUCGUGAAGACAGGUUACGAAUUUGUAAUAGACGCUCAGGCACGAAAGCGUGGGGAUCAAACAGGAUUAGAUACCCUGGUAGUCCACGCUGUAAACGAUGAUAACUUGUUGUUGGGCACAUAGUGCUCAGUGGCUAAGCGAAAGCGAUAAGUUAUCCACCUGGGGAGUACGAUCGCAAGGUUG
rnacentral:rRNA from 1 species